rnacentral:misc_RNA from 1 species
GAUGAAGAACGUAGCGAAAUGCGAUACUUGGUGUGAAUUGCAGAAUCCCGUGAACCAUCGAGUCUUUGAACGCAAGUUGCGCCCGAAGCCAUCAGGUUGAGGGCACGUCUGCCUGGGCGUCACAUAUCGUUGCCCAAUGCCUAUUGCAGUGCAAUAGGAAUUUCUAGGGCGAAUGAUGGCUUCCCGUGAGCGUUGUUGCCUCGCGGUUGGUUGAAAAUCGAGUCCUUGGUAGGGUGUGCCAUGGUAGAUGGUGGUCGAGUUAGAACGAUACCGAUCAUGUGCAUGCUCCCCAAAAUAUGGCCUCUAUGACCCACACGCGUCUUUUGACGCUCAUCACGAGACCUCAGGUCAGGCGGGGCUACCCGCUGAAUUUAAGCAUAUCAAUAAGCGGAGGA